AUUUAAAUAGUUUAAUAAAAACGCUAAUUUGUGGGAUUAGAGUUACUAGUAUUAGUUUUAGAUU
rnacentral:tRNA from 1 species